ACGCUUGAAGUCAGUCACACUCUUUGGGAUUCAGCCUUGCUUGCUUCUGCUGCUCGGUUUACUUCCCAUCGGGUGGGUCAACAUCAGUUUUAGUCGGAGGAGAAAGACUUGGGGAAGGUAGCAGCAUUCGUGCUGUGUUAUAGACCCUUGUUGUAUACUUCGAUUGGGACUGAGGCCCGCAGCACGCCUUUGGCCGGGGUUUACCCACGUACGUGCUUAGGAUGUUGGCAUAAUGGCUUUAAGCGACCCGUCUUGAAACACGGACCAAGGAGUC
rnacentral:rRNA from 1 species